AAUAGAUACCCUGGUAGUCCACGCCGUAAACGAUGAGUGCUAAGUGUUAGAGGGUUUCCGCCCUUUAGUGCUGCAGCUAACGCAUUAAGCACUCCGCCUGGGGAGUACGGCCGCAAGGCUGAAACUUAAAGGAAUUGACGGGGGCCCGCACAAGCGGUGGAGCAUGUGGUUUAAUUCGAAGCAACGCGAAGAACCUUACCAGGUCUUGACAUCCUCUGCCAACCCUAGAGAUAGGGCGUUCCCCUUCGGGGGACAGAGUGACAGGUGGUGCAUGGUUGUCGUCAGCUCGUGUCGUGAGAUGUUGGGUUAAGUCCCGCAACGAGCGCAACCCUUGAUCUUAGUUGCCAGCAUUCAGUUGGGCACUCUAAGGUGACUGCCGGUGACAAACCGGAGGAAGGUGGGGAUGACGUCAAAUCAUCAUGCCCCUUAUGACCUGGGCUACACACGUGCUACAAUGGAUGGUACAAAGAGCUGCGAACCCGCGAGGGUAAGCGAAUCUCAUAAAGCCAUUCUCAGUUCGGAUUGUAGG
rnacentral:rRNA from 1 species